rnacentral:rRNA from 1 species
CAGUCGCCGCGGUAAUACGUAGGGUGCGAGCGUUAAUCGGAAUUACUGGGCAUAAAGCGUGCGCAGGCGGUUUUGUAAGACAGGCGUGAAAUCCCCGGGCUCAACCUGGGAAUGGCGCUUGUGACUGCAAAGCUAGAGUGCGGCAGAGGGGGAUGGAAUUCCGCGUGUAGCAGUGAAAUGCGUAGAUAUGCGGAGGAACACCGAUGGCGAAGGCAAUCCCCUGGGCCUGCACUGACGCUCAUGCACGAAAGCGUGGGGAGCAAACAGGAUUAGAUACCCCCGUAGUCCCUGUCUCUUAUAC